rnacentral:rRNA from 2 species
UUAGAAGCCUUGCCUUCUAUGCACGNUUAGCCGGCGGUACGGGUGAGUAACACGNUGGGCAACCCUGCCUGUAAGACUGGGAUAACUUCGGGAAACCGAAAGCUAAUACCGGAUAGGAUCUUCUCCUUCAUGGGAGAUGAUUGAAAGAUGGUUUCGGCUAUCACUUACAGAUGGGCCCGCGGUGCAUUAGCUAGUUGGUGAGGUAACGGCUCACCAAGGCAACGAUGCAUAGCCGACCUGAGAGGGUGAUCGGCCACACUGGGACUGAGACACGGCCCAGACUCCUACGGGAGGCAGCAGUGGUCUGCAUUUUUUCCUGA